AGAGUGAACGCUGGCGGCAGGCCUAACACAUGCAAGUCGAACGGCAGCACAGGGGAGCUUGCUCCCUGGGUGGCGAGUGGCGGACGGGUGAGGAAAACGUCGGAAUCUGCCUAUUUGUGGGGGAUAACGUAGGGAAACUUACGCUAAUACCGCAUACGACCUACGGGUGAAAGCGGAGGACCUUCGGGCUUCGCGUCAGAUAGAUGAGCCGACGUCGGAUUAGCUAGUUGGCGGGUAAAGCCACCAAGGCGACGAUCCGUAGCUGGUCUGAGAGGAUGAUCAGCCACACUGGAACUGAGACACGGUCCAGACUCCUACGGGAGCAGCGAGUAGGGGGAAUAUUGGAACAAGUGGGCGCAAGCCUGACUCCAGCCAUGACCGUCGUGUCGGUUAGGAAACGGUAACGGUCCGUUU
rnacentral:rRNA from 1 species